rnacentral:rRNA from 1 species
GCCUGCCCUGUGACUUAAUGUUUAACGGCCGCGGUAUUUUGACCGUGCAAAGGUAGCGUAAUCACUUGUCUUUUAAAUGAAGACCUGUAUGAAAGGCACCACGAGGGCUUAACUGUCUCCACCCCUUAGUCAGUGAAAUUGAUCUCCCCGUGCAGAAGCGGGGAUAUUACCAUAAGACGAGAAGACCCUAUGGAGCUUUAGACGACAAGUAGGUCAUCUUUUAACCUCUAAAUUAAAAGAGUAAAACUAUUGAAUUCUACUUAGAUGUCUUUGGUUGGGGCGACCGCGGGGAAAAGCUAAACCCCCACGAGGACUAGGAGUACAGUUUUCCUAGAAACUAGAGAAACACCUCAAAUAAACAGAAUGUCUGACCAAACAGAUCCGGCUUUUGCCGAUCAACGAACCUAGUUACCCUAGGGAUAACAGCGCAAUCCCCUUUUAGAGCCCAUAUCGACAAGGGGGUUUACGACCUCGAUGUUGGAUCAGGACAUCCUAAUGGUGCAGCCGCUAUUAAGGGUUCGUUUGUUCAACGAUUAAAGUCCUACGUGAUCUGA